rnacentral:tRNA from 1 species
ACCCGUCUGGCUUUGUCAGUAGAGCAUAAGACUCUUGAUUUCAGGGUUGUGAGUUUGAGUCCCAUGUUGGGUA